GUUGAAAGUCCUGAAAAUCAAAGAUAGUGGAGAAUAGACACUCCUGUUACUGACCUCUUUUGACCUUCUCUCAAACCAUCAGCAGUUUAAGUCUCUGAACUGGUUGAGUGACAAAAUUCACAAAUAUUUGGAGUACAGCACAUUUCCAGAAGAAGAUACUUUGGAAGAACUACAGAACAGGAAUAGUUAAGAUGCCAGCUCUUCCGGGAGGCUUCCUCAUAUAAAGUCAACAACUGCUAUUUGCCAGGCACUGGGCUAAGUCGUGGGGAUGCAAAAAUCCAAAAGCAUGGUUCCCGACCUCAAAGAAUUUACAUUCUAUUGGUUGAUCUUCAGAAUCCUCCUAAGACAAUUCAAAUGGAAGACGUUCAGUUUCCUGACAUGGUGCUGGUACACUGUCCAGAUUUCACAGGCAUCCAACAAUGAGAUCAACGCAACGGCUCGAUAGACCUUCAGUUUGAUGGUCAGGCUAAUACCUCCCUUCUCCCACACUUUCCUUUGGAGCUUCCCCAACACAGUUAGCUUUGGAUGCACAUGUCAACGUCAUUAUCAAUGUGGACAUUCCUGGAAAGUAUGCUGUCAAGUCAACUGAACUUUUCCACAAUAUUUAUAAUUUGUCCAUUUGCUGUACCUGAUGGUUCCACAUAUGGAUGGUGUAGUGCUGACUGAUGGAGCACCUGUGUUUUCUUGGUGGUGUUAGGCCAAAAUUAGCAAACAAUUUGGAAGCAUAGCUAUACCUAAGACAAGCAGGGAAGAGCAUCUGGGACUUAAGUGAAUCUUUUGAUCUUAAAUAGGCCAAUAUUUGAUGGCAAAGUCUCAUCAGAUGGAUACUGCAUUGUAGAUUCCUCACCUUGUAUUCUCUUCUAUUACAAAUGAUGCAACAGCAAAUUUACGGAAUCUUUUUCUACUCAAGCUAGGAUCUUUUACAUGUUUUCUAUCACAUAGACUGUAAUCUUAAUGAGUGUAGGGACUUUUCUCCCCUUCAUUUUGUUCUUUGUAUUUCUAGCACCUAACACAAUACCAUGUACAUUUAAUUGAUGUUUAUUUAAUUGAGAAAAAAAUCAUAUAUGUGCCCAUUUUCAUUCAUGAUUCGUUAAGUAAUUAUAUUGUGCAUUGCUAUUUGUUGAUGUCAUAUGCCAACUCUUUUGAAGGAAUAAAUGGAUCAAUUCGUUAGGUGUCCAAUUAUGUCAACUUUAGUGCAGGAUAUUAGUAAUAAAUAUCCAGAGGAAUCUUGAUUCUUUUAAUUAAAAA